AUGCUCGCAUGCCAGCGGCCGCCGCGCGCGGCGGUGAAAUACCGCUGCCGCCGUCGAGCAGCAAACCGCGCGCCGACAAAAGCUCAAAAUCCUGCUGCUUCCGCUCCACAGUCCCGCCACGUGUACUCGCUGGCUCUCGUCGAUCUCCAAGUCAACCUCUGGCUAAGCUUUUUGCCACCGGAUCCGGAGGAGCUGAUGGACGGCGAGGUGCCCGGGUACCAGGGUGAUGUCCCUGGAGUUGGCCACGACCACGACAACCUGCGCGCACUCGACGACUACUACCUCACCCACGAGUUGCUCGAGCUGCUGCUGCGCGGGAACGGCGGCGGCGGCGCAGGUAGCUCCGUCGACGUCGUCCACGAAAAGACUUUGAUGGUCGAUCAUCUUCCUCUGCCGCUGCCACCUUCGUCUCCUCUGCCCACGUACUUCGCCGCCGAUAGCCCUUCUGGAAAAGCGAUGGCAAGCGACGCCGAGAUGGCGUCGUGGCUCUGCCAGGUUUUCGAGCAGGAGCCUCGGAGCGCUGCGACCGCCACGACGACGACCAAGCCUGAGGGAGGUAACACCAUGCCCAGCAGCAGCUGUGGCAUCGGCGGUGGGCACCGCAGUAUCGCCUCCGGCGACGCGCCGACCACCAGCCUUGCGGCGGAUGGCGCAGGCGACUGCCGACAUGGGCGGUCGAGCAGCGGCCGAAGAAGGUCUUGUUCCGGAAAGGCAGCCGAGCAGAGGCGACGAGACAAGAUCAACGACAAGGUGAGGACUCUGCAGCAGCUGACGCCCAGGUGCAGCAAGACUGACAAGGCCUCGACGCUGGAGGAGGUCAUCAAGUACGUGAAAUCACUCCAGCACCAAAUCCAGAUGAUGUCGGCCGCCGGAUACGCCAUACCGACGCCAUUCUUGCCGCUGGGGGUGAUGCCGCCGUCGUGCAUGCAGCUGCCUGCUGCAGGCGGGCAGGCGCCGGUGAUGGUCCCUCAGUACCCGGUUUUCCCGGCGGUGUACUCUUGUCCACACCACGGCACGCCGCUGCCGCCAUUGGCGCCGUGUGCUCGUCAUCUUGGUGCCGGCGAGCCGCGGCCGCUUGCUCCUCGCCGUCGCCAUCUCGUCCCAAACGAUUUCACCGUGCCGAGCCACAGCGGGAGAAGCCAGAAAUGA
rnacentral:rRNA from 1 species